GCUCAUUUAGCUCAGUGGAUAGAGCAUUGGCCUGCAGACUGAAAAGUCCCAGGUUCGAUUCUGGCAAGGGCA
rnacentral:tRNA from 1 species